AGCGAACGCUGGCGGCAGGCCUAACACAUGCAAGUCGAACGAAGUCUUCGGACUUAGUGGCGGACGGGUGAGUAACACGUGGGAACGUGCCUUUAGGUUCGGAAUAACUCAGGGAAACUUGUGCUAAUACCGAAUGUGCCCUUCGGGGGAAAGAUUUAUCGCCUUUAGAGCGGCCCGCGUCUGAUUAGCUAGUUGGUGAGGUAAAGGCUCACCAAGGCUACGAUCAGUAGCUGGUCUGAGAGGAUGACCAGCCACAUUGGGACUGAGACACGGCCCAAACUCCUACGGGAGGCAGCAGUGGGGAAUCUUGCGCGAUGGGCGAAAGCCUGACGCAGCCAUGCCGCGUGGAUGAUGAAGGUUUUAGGAUUGUAAAAUCCUUUCACCGGUGAAGAUAAUGACUGUAGCCGGAGAAGAAGCCCCGGCUAACUUCGUGCCAGCCGCCGCAGUAA
rnacentral:rRNA from 1 species